AUUAAACGCUGGCGGCAUGCCUUACACAUGCAAGUCGAACGGUAGCGCGGGGCAACCUGGCGACGAGUGGCGAACGGGUGAGUAAAGCAUCGGAACGUGCCCUGGAAUGGGGGAUAACGUAGCGAAAGUUACGCUAAUACCGCAUAUUCUGUGAGCAGGAAAGCAGGGGAUCGCAAGACCUUGCGUUCUGGGAGCGGCCGAUGUCGGAUUAGCUAGUUGGUGGGGUAAAAGCCUACCAAGGCGACGAUCCGUAGCGGGUCUGAGAGGAUGAUCCGCCACACUGGGACUGAGACACGGCCCAGACUCCUACGGGAGGCAGCAGUGGGGAAUUUUGGACAAUGGGCGGAAGCCUGAUCCAGCCAUGCCGCGUGAGUGAAGAAGGCCUCGGUUGUAAGA
rnacentral:rRNA from 1 species